rnacentral:tRNA from 1 species
GCCUGGGUGGCUCAGUUGGUUGAGUGUCUGACUUCGGCUCAGGUUAUGAUCUUGAGGUUUGUGGGUUUGAGCCCCACAUCAGGCU